rnacentral:rRNA from 1 species
CCUACGGGAGGCAGCAGUGGGGAAUAUUGCACAAUGGGCGAAAGCCUGAUGCAGCGACGCCGCGUGAGGGAUGACGGCCUUCGGGUUGUAAACCUCUUUCAGCAGGGAAGAAGCGAAAGUGACGGUACCUGCAGAAGAAGCGCCGGCUAACUACGUGCCAGCAGCCGCGGUAAUACGUAGGGCGCAAGCGUUGUCCGGAAUUAUUGGGCGUAAAGAGCUCGUAGGCGGCUUGUCACGUCGGGUGUGAAAGCCCGGGGCUUAACCCCGGGUCUGCAUUCGAUACGGGCUAGCUAGAGUGUGGUAGGGGAGAUCGGAAUUCCUGGUGUAGCGGUGAAAUGCGCAGAUAUCAGGAGGAACACCGGUGGCGAAGGCGGAUCUCUGGGCCAUUACUGACGCUGAGGAGCGAAAGCGUGGGGAGCGAACAGGAUUAGAUACCCUGGUAGUCCACGCCGUAAACGGUGGGAACUAGGUGUUGGCGACAUUCCACGUCGUCGGUGCCGUCAGCUAACGCAUUAAGUUCCCCGCCUGGGGAGUACGGCCGCAAGGCUAAAACUCAAAUGAAUUGACGG